rnacentral:tRNA from 1 species
GGCGACAUGGCCGAGUGGUAAGGCAUGGGACUGCAAAUCCCUUUUUCCCCAGUUCAAAUCCGGGUGUCGCCU